GAUGAAGAACGUAGCGAAAUGCGAUAAGUAAUGUGAAUUGCAGAAUUCAGUGAAUCAUCGAAUCUUUGAACGCACAUUGCGCCCCCUGGUAUUCCGGGGGGCAUGCCUGUUCGAGCGUCAUAUCACCACUCAAGCCUCGCUUGGUAUUGGGCAUCGCGGUCCGCCGCGCGCCUCAAAUCGACCGGCUGGGUCUUCUGUCCCCUAAGCGUUGUGGAAACUAUUCGCUAAAGGGUGUUCGGGAGGCUACGCCGUAAAACAACCCCAUUUCUAAGGUUGACCUCGGAUCAGGUAGGGAUACCCGCUGAACUUAAGCAUAUCAAUAAGCGGAGGA
rnacentral:misc_RNA from 1 species